UGCAGGUACCAUAUGAAUAAGGACCGGCUAAUUCCGUGCCAGCAGCCGCGGUAAUACGGAAGGUCCGGGCGUUAUCCGGAUUUAUUGGGUUUAAAGGGAGCGUAGGCGGCUUGUUAAGCGUGUUGUGAAAUGUAGAUGCUCAACAUCUGAAUUGCAGCGCGAACUGGCUGGCUUGAGUGCGCAGGAAGUUGGCGGAAUUCGUCGUGUAGCGGUGAAAUGCUUAGAUAUGACGAAGAACUCCGAUUGCGAAGGCAGCUGACUGUAGCGUAACUGACGCUGAAGCUCGAAAGUGCGGGUAUCGAACAGGAUUAGAUACCCUG
rnacentral:rRNA from 1 species